rnacentral:ncRNA from 1 species
UAUUAAUUAACCUUAUCAAAACUGGUACAGACAAGAGGAAUCUGACUGUUUAAUUAAAACAAAGCAUUGCAAUGGUCCAUGUGGAUGCUGACGCAAUGUGAUUUAUGCCCAGUUCUCUGCAUGUCAAAGUGAAUAAAUUCAACCAAGCAUGGGUAAACAAUGGGAGUAACUAUGACUCUCUUAAGGUAAGCAAAUGUUUUGUCAUAUAAUUAGUGACACACAUGAAUGGAUUAACAAGAUUCCCAUUGUCCCUAGCUACUAUAUAGAGAAACCACAUCCAAGGAAAUGGGCUUGUAAAAAUUACCAGGGAAAGAAAACCAUGUUGAGCUUGACUCUAGUCCGACUUUGUGAAAUGACUUGAGAGGUGUAGAAUACGUGGGAAUCAUUUUCAACGCAAGUGAAAUACAACCACUACUUUUAACAUUAUUUUACUUAUUUCACGGGGCGGAGACAGGGCACUGUGCAUAUGUUAAAAUAUAACACACAUUUCCUCAAAGUGUUUUCAUUGAUGGCAAUGGCCGAGAUCUCAUUCUUCACGAACUUGAUGGCAAUGCUUUAGGAAACCAAAGAGGAUCAUUGCUUUUAAGGACGUACAAAGUUCCCACAAAGAGGAUCAUAUGUAAGAUGUUAAUAUUUCUCUUGACCUUAUUCACCAACAU